UUUCCUCUGGGUCAUCCUCCGUCCUGGGCCUUAGCAAGUCUUCGCUGAAAUCACUCAUACCUUAACCAAAGCGUUGCCACCCUUGUGCCUCCUUCUCAGAACUGGAGGAAGGGCGCAUCGGGAGACAAUGCCGGGUGAACGCUAGCGUACCCCUUCGCGUUCCUCUCUGACUGCCCGCAGUGACUGAUGGCCCACACCCGCGGCCCCUACCUGCCCAAAGCCGGACCCCUUCUGCACCGCUAAACCUGAAAUCGCGGAUCUGGGCGGCUGCGCAACCACCGGAAGCGGAGUUAGCGACUGCAGCGUGUGAGCAUGCGCACAAUCCGCAUCGGGCUCCUAGGCGGCGUGUAGACACAGCCGCGACCCUAACUUCCGCCGCGCGGACCCAGCUGCGACCCUAACUUCCGCCGCGCAGCCGGCUACGUCCCGGACUCGACCCCCACCUCCCCUAGCGCGGUUUCCUCCGCCCUAAGUAACCCGGAAGUGACCGCGAACUGCCGCCCUCCCUCUGCGUUCGCUCCAGAUUUAAUCGUUGUCUGUCCCAGUCGGGGAAAUGGGAGGCUUUAUUUGCUAAUGGAUGUUGGGGCGACGGGAGGGCAAGUGGAUGAGGGGAAGAGUCAAAAAGCAGAAUGCCGCGUUAGCCCAGUAAUUCGCCUUUAGGUUUUUGUUUGGCUGGUGGUCCUGGCAAAAUAAAUCUGCGUAGCCUUUUCCUUGUUUCCUUGAAGUCACUUUUCUCUUGUAUCAAAAUGUAGCUUUGAAUGUAGGGGACCCUGGACUACCUCCCCCAAGUUUGGGCAAGAUCUUUUUUCCCCUCUCAGCAAGGGAGUCCCUGACAUGAGAAGCGUUGACAGACUUCUUACGAAUUAGAGGUGGAAAGUGAGAUGGCUAGAUGUGCAGUAUGGGAAAGUGGAGCUCCAGGGAAGACGAUCCUGGAAAAGCAGAGACCGAUGGAAACACAGUAUCUGCCUCCAAAGUUUGGAGUUCUUCUAUCUGAGAAAGAAGGGUCAGACUGCCUUUCCGAAGCCUCCAAGGUAACAGAGUGACGACUAAGAAGUGAACGUUAAAGGGAGGCAGCGUUAAAGUCUUUACGAGAAUUGUGAAAGGUUGCACAGAUCAUGGCAUAGGCUGCCGCAGGAAUCUCGGGAGUUUCCCCGACCCAGAAAGCGAACCGUUGAGCAGGAUCCGGGUGUUGCAGAGCUGACUGAAGGGUCUGCUAAGAGUUUGUACGGGAAUUCCUCUAAAGGCUGCACAUACUUGAUUCUGUGUUGUCCUCGUAAACACCAUGCAGUAGCCAGGAGCUUGCAAGAAGAAUUCCCUCUGCUGUUGCUGUGUCCUGGGUCCCUGGCCUCACUCCAGCCUGUGCUCUGACUCCACUGCCAAGUCUGAUCCAGAGGACAAUGUUGUUCCAAGAAAACACACAUAAAAUAACGCAGACAUGGGUUUCCAGUCUAAAGGCUCGGUAUGGCUACAUUUCUCCCCUUGCCAUGAAGUAGAAUUUCACCCAAACCAACCCAGAACUGAUUUUAAAUGGCAAGAAAUUCAUGCUCUCACCAAAAUGGUGAAGACAUUUCUGAUUUACUGUAACAUUUCUUAGACAACUCUAGAUAACAGUAGGGAAAAGAGAAUAAGUUCAGAACAAAUAUCUUUAUACUUGUAUGCCCUACCUACCCCUUCCCUUUCCCACAGUACAAUUCUGGUAGAAAAUGUGCUAGGUGAGGAGAGUAAAAAUAAAAUGACUAUACUAUAUCACAUCCAAUGCUGUAUAUAAGACAAAGAAACAGCAUGACAAAAACACAGUAUAAAACAAAGCAAAGCAUGCAGAAGGCUUUCUAGAUUCUGUUGUAGAAGAAAACACAUGCUAAGGAACAAGGACUUCCUUACCAUUCCAUUGAAGAACAACUUAGUAUAAUUAACUACAUAUUUUAAAGCUGGAGACUUCUUUAGUGAAUAUUAUUUACAUGAAACCCUUCACUCAUUCCCUGCAAUCUAAUAAAGAACAUGCUUCAGACAACCAAACAAUUGGAGAGACAUAGUUUAUGUUACAUCACAGCUAAUAAUACAAACAAGAUUU